rnacentral:rRNA from 1 species
UACGAAGGGGGCUAGCGUUGUUCGGAAUUACUGGGCGUAAAGCGCACGUAGGCGGAUAUUUAAGUCAGGGGUGAAAUCCCAGAGCUCAACUCUGGAACUGCCUUUGAUACUGGGUAUCUUGAGUAUGGAAGAGGUAAGUGGAAUUGCGAGUGUAGAGGUGAAAUUCGUAGAUAUUCGCAGGAACACCAGUGGCGAAGGCGGCUUACUGGUCCAUUACUGACGCUGAGGUGCGAAAGCCAGGGGAGCAAACGGG